AACCAAUCAGACAAAAUGCAGGACAACUCAGCACGGGAUAGAGUUAAUUCUGUCAAGGGUGGGAUUGUUUUCUCAAACAUUGUGACAACAGUUUCACCUACUUAUGCCCAAGAAGUGAGAACUGCAGAGGGAGGACAUGGUCUUCAUUCAACACUCUCUUCCCACUCCAGAAAGUUCAUUGG